UACGAAGGGUGCAAACGUUGCUCGGAAUUAUUGGGCGUAAAGCGCACGUAGGCGGCUUUGCAAGUCGGAUGUGAAAUCCCUCGGCUUAACCAAGGAAGUGCAUCCGAAACUGCAGAGCUUGAGUACUUAAGAGGAUCGCGGAAUUCCCGGUGUAGAGGUGAAAUUCGUAGAUAUCGGGAGGAACACCAGUGGCGAAGGCGGUUGCCUGGAGCUUUGCUGACGCUGAUGCGCGAAAGCGUGGGGAUCAAACAGG
rnacentral:rRNA from 1 species